GCCGAACAUCUCGUCAAGUUUACCCAGUCCUGGAAGCAUCAGUUUCCUUUGAGUCCAGCCAUACAAUACUACAUGAUCAUGCUUCAACAAGGCUGAGCAGUGUCCAGCCCCAAUGAACAUUGCAUUAUUAAAAACAAACAAACAACAACAAUAACAAAAUCUAAACCCA